GUCAAUAAAACCAUACCAAUUUGAGCCCGAAUCGGACCCAGAAAAUUUUAAUGAAGAUGAACGAGCAGAACGUGUUCAAGAACGGCGUUUAAAUGACGUUUCAGAAUGGUAUGUUUUUUGUUGUUGAUAUCUAAUACUUUUUUAGAUACGCUGUAAUUUAAUUGUACUAAUUAUAAUAGUUGAUGUUUAAUUUAUAACAAUAAUAAGUGUUUGUCUAUUAACAAAAGUGUAUUCAAGAACCUUUUUUAUUUAAAAUAUAUAUAUAUUUUAUUAGGUGUACAUGUAAUAACUGUGCAAAAAUGCCAAUUGAAGAGGAAAACAUCUGCUGCAAAGAAAUACAGAAGAGCCGACUAUGGACCAGUGAGACGCAGAAAUGAAGAGGAGCGUUUCCGUUAUCUGGCCUAUCGCAGCUUUGUCAGCUGGUGCUGGGGCUACCUAGGACGUAGUGUGAGGGUUGUCAUCCCCUCAUGUGUUGUUAACCGGAUCCGUCUACAGUUUCCAGAUCCAGCGGG